ACGGAAGGCAGCAGUGGGGAAUAUUGGGCAAUGGGCGAAAGCCUGACCCAGCAACGCCGCGUGAAGGAAGAAGGUCUUCGGAUUGUAAACUUCUUCUAUGUGGGACGAAGAAAGUGACGGUACCACAUGAAUAAGCCACGGCUAACUACGUGCCAGCAGCCGCGGUAAUACGUAGGUGGCAAGCGUUAUCCGGAUUUACUGGGUGUAAAGGGCGCGUAGGCGGGAUGGCAAGUCAGAUGUGAAAUCUAUGGGCUCAACCCAUAAACUGCAUUUGAAACUGUCAUUCUUGAGUGCUGGAGAGGUAGACGGAAUUCCUUGUGUAGCGGUGAAAUGCGUAGAUAUAAGGAAGAACACCAGUGGCGAAGGCGGUCUACUGGACAGUAACUGACGCUGAGGCGCGAAAGCGUGGGGAGCAAACAGGAUUAGAUACCCUGGUA
rnacentral:rRNA from 1 species